rnacentral:rRNA from 1 species
AUUGAACGCUGGCGGCAGGCCUAACACAUGCAAGUCGAACGAGUGGCGGACGGGUGAGUAAUACAUCGGAAUCUACUCUGUCGUGGGGGAUAACUAAGGGAAACUUACGCUAAUACCGCGUACGAUUGAAUGAGCCGAUGUCGGAUUAGGUAGUUGGCGGGGUAAAGGCUCACCAAGGCGACGAUCCGUAGCUGGUCUGAGAGGAUGACCAGCCACACUGGAACUGAGACACGGUCCAGACUCCUACGGGAGGCAGCAGUGGGGAAUAGUGGACAAUGGGGGCAAGCCUGAUCCAGCCAUACCGCGUGGGUGAAGAAGGCCUUCGGGUUGUAAAGCCCUUUUGUUGGGAAAGCGGUACCCAAAGAAUAAGCACCGGCUAACUUCGUGCCAGCCGCCGCGGUAAUAC